rnacentral:rRNA from 1 species
CCUACGGGAGGCAGCAGUGGGGAAUAUUGGGCAAUGGGCGCAAGCCUGACCCAGCAACGCCGCGUGAAGGAAGAAGGCUUUCGGGUUGUAAACUUCUUUUCUCAGGGACGAAGAAAGUGACGGUACCUGAGGAAUAAGCCACGGCUAACUACGUGCCAGCAGCCGCGGUAAUACGUAGGUGGCAAGCGUUAUCCGGAUUUAUUGGGUGUAAAGGGCGUGUAGGCGGGAGCGCAAGUCAGAUGUGAAAACUCAGGGCUCAACCCUGAGCCUGCAUUUGAAACUGCGUGGCUGGAGUGCAGGAGGGGCAGGCGGAAUUCCUGGUGUAGCGGUGAAAUGCGUAGAUAUCAGGAGGAACACCGGUGGCGAAGGCGGCCUGCUGGACUGCAACUGACGUUGAGGCCCGAAAGCGUGGGGAGCAAACAGGAUUAGAUACCCCGGUAGUC